GACGAGGUGGCUGAGUGGUUAAGGUAAUAGACUGCUAAUCCAUUAUGCUUUGCACACAUGGGUUCAAAUCCCAUCUUUGUUG
rfam:Chelonia mydas contig188236, whole genome shotgun sequence.